GUGCCAGCCGCCGCGGUAAUACCGGCAGCCCGAGUGAUGGCCGAUCUUAUUGGGCCUAAAGCGUCCGUAGCUGGCUGCGCAAGUCCGUCGGGAAAUCCACGCGCUCAACGCGUGGGCGUCCAGCGGAAACUGCCUGGCUUGGGGCCGGAGGACUCGAGGGGUACGUCCGGGGUAGGAGUGAAAUCCCGUAAUCCUGGACGGACCACCGGUGGCGAAAGCGCCUCGAGAGGACGGACCCGACAGUGAGGGACGAAAGCCAGGGUCUCGAACCGGAUUAGAAACCCCAGUAGUCC
rnacentral:rRNA from 1 species